rnacentral:rRNA from 1 species
AGUGAACGCUGGCGGUAGGCCUAACACAUGCAAGUCGAACGGCAGCACAGUAAGAGCUUGCUCUUACGGGUGGCGAGUGGCGGACGGGUGAGGAAUACAUCGGAAUCUACUUUUUCGUGGGGGAUAGCGUAGGGAAACUUACGCUAAUACCGCAUACGACCUACGGGUGAAAGCAGGGGAUCUUCGGACCUUGCGCGAUUGAAUGAGCCGAUGUCGGAUUAGCUAGUUGGCGGGGUAAAGGCCCACCAAGGCGACGAUCCGUAGCUGGUCUGAGAGGAUGAUCAGCCACACUGGAACUGAGACACGGUCCAGACUCCUACGGGAGGCAGCAGUGGGGAAUAUUGGACAAUGGGCGCAAGCCUGAUCCAGCCAUACCGCGUGGGUGAAGAAGGCCUUCGGGUUGUAAAGCCCUUUUGUUGGGAAAGAAAAGCAGCAGGUUAAUACCCCGCUGUUCUGACGGUACACAAAGAAUAAGCACCGGCUAACUUCGUG